UUGUUGUAUGAAAGGAGAGAAGGUUAGCAUUUCACUUGACAAUGACAAGCAAGGACCUAGUGGCCUUUACAACACAUAUAAGGUUAAGGCAUUGUCACCUACUCUGUGGCAUCUAACCGUUUUGUUUU
ensembl:snRNA